CCCUUAGAGUUUGAUCCUGGCUCAGGACGAACGCUGGCGGCGUGCCUAAUACAUGCAAGUCGAACGAAACUUUCUUACACCGAAUGUUUGCAUUCACCGUAAGAAGUUGAGUGGCGGACGGGUGAGUAACACGUGGGUAACCUGCCUAAAAGAAGGGGAUAACACUUGGAAACAGGUGCUAAUACCGUAUAUCUCUAAGGAUCGCAUGAUCCUUAGAUGAAAGAUGGUUCUGCUAUCGCUUUUAGAUGGACCCGCGGCGUAUUAACUAGUUGGUGGGGUAACGGCCUACCAAGGUGAUGAUACGUAGCCGAACUGAGAGGUUGAUCGGCCACAUUGGGAAUGAGACACGGCCCAAACUCCUACGGGAGGCAGCAGUAGGGAAUCUUCCACAAUGGACGCAAGUCUGAUGGAGCAACGCCGCGUGAGUGAAGAAGGUCUUCGGAUCGUAAAACUCUGUUGUUAAAGAAGAACACGAGUGAGA
rnacentral:rRNA from 1 species